GACGAACCGUACGAACGUUAUUCGGGAUCACUGGGCUUAAAGGGUGCGUAGGCGGUGCGGAAAGUUGGGUGUGAAAUCCCUCGGCUCAACCGAGGAAUGGCGCCCAAAACUGCCGUGCUCGAGGGAGACAGAGGUGAGUGGAACUUAGGGUGGAGCGGUGAAAUGCGUUGAUAUCCUAAGGAACACCAGUGGCGAAAGCGACUCACUGGGUCUCUUCUGACGCUGAGGCACAAAAGCUAGGGUAGCGAACAGG
rnacentral:misc_RNA from 1 species